CCGGCGAACGGGUGCGUAACACGUGAACAACCUGCCCUCGUGUGGGGGAUAGCCAUGCUAACGCGUGGGUAAUACCGCAUACGUUCCCUUGGAGGAGUCUCUGGGGGAGGAAAGCUCCGGCGCACGGGAGGGGUUCGCGGCCUAUCAGCUAGUUGGUGGGGUAAUGGCCCACCAAGGCGACGACGGGUAGCUGGUCUGAGAGGAUGGCCAGCCACAUUGGGACUGAGAGACGGCCCAG
rnacentral:rRNA from 1 species